rnacentral:tRNA from 1 species
GUGUAGCGCAAUGGAUAGCGCGUCGGACUUCUAAUCCAAAGGUCGUGGGUGCGAAUCCCACCUGAAAUG